UGAUCCUCACCAAUUGUCUUAGACCA
rnacentral:piRNA from 1 species